rnacentral:rRNA from 1 species
CUUGACACCCAUAAGAGGUCCAGCCUGCCCAGUGACUCUGUUCAACGGCCGCGGUAUCCUAACCGUGCGAAGGUAGCGUAAUCACUUGUUCUUUAAAUGAGGACUAGUAUGAAUGGCACCACGAAGGUUAUACUGUCUCCUUUUUCUAAUCAGUGAAACUAAUCUUCCCGUGAAGAAGCGGGAAUAAAAAUAUAAGACGAGAAGACCCUAUGGAGCUUUAAACAAACAUACAACUGCCUUCUUUUAUAACUAUUUCAGAAGAAAACUUUUAUUUAGGCAUUUUGAUAUAGAGUUUUAGGUUGGGGUGACCACGGAGUAAAAAACAACCUCCGCAAUGAAGGGGGCUUUUCCCCUAAGCUAAGAGCUACAACCCUAAGAAUCAAAAAAUUGACACCAAUUGACCCAAUAUACUUGAUCAAUGAAC